AUUGAACGCUGGCGGCAGGCCUAACACAUGCAAGUCGAACGCGGGGCGGACGGGUGUGUAAUGUCUGGGAAACUGCCUGAUGGAGGGGGAUAACUACUGGACACGGUCUCUAAUACCGCAUACCAUCAUAUGACCCCAGAUGGGAUUAGCUUGUUGGUGGGGUAACGGCUACCCAAGGCGACGAUCCCUAGCUGGUCUGAGAGGAUGACAAGCCACACUGGAACUGGGACACGGUCCAGACGCAGACGGGAGGCAGCAGUGGGGAAUAUUGGACAAUGGGCGAAAGCCUGAUCCAGCCAUGCCGCGUGUGUGAAGAAGUGCUUAGGAUUGUAAAGCACUUGAAGUUGGUAGGCGUUACCAACAGAAUAAGCACCGGCUAACUUCGUGCCAGCAGCCGCGGUAAUAC
rnacentral:rRNA from 1 species